UACGAAGGGGGCGAGCGUUGUUCGGAUUUACUGGGCGUAAAGGGCGCGCAGGCGGCUUAUCAAGUCAAGCGUGAAAGCCCCGGGCUUAACCUGGGAACUGCGUCUGGGACUGAUGGGCUAGAGUUCGGGAGAGGAGAGUGGAAUUCCCAGUGUAGAGGUGAAAUUCGUAGAUAUUGGGAAGAACACCGGUGGCGAAGGCGGCUCUCUGGACCGAGACUGACGCUGAGGCGCGAAAGCGUGGGGAGCAA
rnacentral:rRNA from 1 species